UACGUAGGGGGCAAGCGUUGUCCGGAAUUACUGGGCGUAAAGCGUGUGUAGGCGGCUACGCAAGUCGGAUGUGAAAGCCCCGGGCUCAACCCGGGAAGUGCACCCGAAACUGCGUGGCUCGAGUACCGGAGAGGUUGGUGGAAUUCUCGGUGUAGAGGUGAAAUUCGUAGAUAUCGAGAGGAACACCGGUGGCGAAGGCGGCCAACUGGACGAGUACUGACGCUGAGACACGAAAGCGUGGGGAGCAAACAGG
rnacentral:rRNA from 1 species